UACGUAGGGUGCGAGCGUUGUCCGGAAUUAUUGGGCGUAAAGAGCUCGUAGGCGGUCUGUCGCGUCGGUCGUGAAAACUUGGGGCUUAACCCCGAGCCUGCUUUCGAUACGGGCGGACUAGAGGUAGGUAGGGGAGAACGGAAUUCCUGGUGUAGCGGUGGAAUGCGCAGAUAUCAGGAGGAACACCGGUGGCGAAGGCGGGUCUCUGGGCCGAUACUGACGCUGAGGAGCGAAAGCGUGGGGAGCGAACAGG
rnacentral:rRNA from 1 species